UACGAACCGUACAAACGUUAUUCGGAAUCACUGGGCUUAAAGGGUGCGCAGGCGGAUAUGUAAGUCAGUGGUGAAAUCUCUAGGCUUAACCUGGAAAUUGCCAUUGAUACUAUAUGUCUUGAAUGCUGUGGAGGUAAGCGGAAUAUGUCAUGUAGCGGUGAAAUGCUUAGAUAUGACAUAGAACACCUAUUGCGAAGGCAGCUUACUACGCAGAUAUUGACGCUCAUGCACGAAAGCGUGGGGAUCAAACAGG
rnacentral:rRNA from 1 species